rnacentral:rRNA from 1 species
GAUGAACGCUGGCGGCGUGCCUAAUACAUGCAAGUCGAACGCACCGACGAGGGGAUUUGUUCCUUUCUGUUAGCGGCGCGAGCGUGUGAAACACGUGUAUCAAACCCAUCUUUGACCGGGAUAUAUUCGGGAAACCGGAUCUCAUAUCCGAUAAUAUUUUGCCCCGCAUGGUUCAAAAGUGAGAUACGGUGUUUCUGCUACUACUAGAUGGUUCCGCGCUGCAUUAGCUAGUAGGUAAGGUAACGGCUUACCAAGGCGUCGAUGCAUAGCCGACCUGAGAGGGUGAUCGGCCACACUGGAACUGAGACACGGUCCAAACUCCUACGGGAGGCAGCAGUAGGGAAUCUUCCGCAAUGGGCGAAAGUCUGACGGAGCAACGCCGCGUGUGUGAAGAAGGUCUUCGGAUCGUAAAACACUGUUAUUAGAGAAGAACAGCUGUGAGAGUAACUGUGAUAGGCUUGACGGUAACUAAUCAGAAAGCCACGGCUAACUACGUG